AUGGCCUGUAUCCAUGGAAACACAGUCCUCCCCAACUAUGGUUCUCUGCUGACAAACCCUGGGAGUCUCCCCAGCCCCCUCCCCACCUCGGAGAGGGAGCAGACCAUACAGUCUCCAGCCAGCAGGAGGGCAGCACUGUGGAGGAAGUGGCCACUUUCUCAGUUGCUUCGAAGGGCCAGACAAGGCCAGGCCUCCAAGACCUUCCUCCAUAGGCCGGAGUGCAAUGGCACAAUCUCGGCUCACUGCAACCUCCGCUUCUCGAAUUCAAGCGAUUCUCCUGCCUCAGCCUCCCGAGAAGAUAGAUUCUUCAUCCAGUCAAGGAGCUCAGGAGUCCUGAAGGUCAGGAUGGAUGUCUGUAUUGGAGGAGUGGGGCACAGGAGGGUGGUCAGAGAGGCCUCCUAGGGAGCUGCAGCCCAGGAAGAUGAGGCAGGGUGGGGAGGACUAGCAGGAGGGCAGCGCUGGGAGCCAGUGGGUGAGAGACUCGUGCACUGGAGUUCUAACUCUGGCUCCUGUUGGCGGUGCUCCCUGGAGAAAGCCACCUAAGCUCUCUGGCAUGUAAAAUGGGAAAUGGCAAUACCUACCUCAUGGGGGUGGAUGAGGAUUAAAUAAAACAUCUGGCCCUGAAUGUAGUGAGUGUUUA
rnacentral:lncRNA from 13 species